UACGGGGGGGGCAAGCGUUGUUCGGAAUUACUGGGCGUAAAGGGCUCGUAGGCGGCCAACUAAGUCGGACGUGAAAUCCCUCGGCUUAACCGGGGAACUGCGUCCGAUACUGGAUGGCUUGAGUUCGGGAGAGGGAUGCGGAAUUCCAGGUGUAGCGGUGAAAUGCGUAGAUAUCAGGAAGAACACCCGUGGCUAAGGCGGCUCUCUAGUACGGUACUGACGCUGAGACGCGAAAGCGUGGGGAGCGAACAGG
rnacentral:rRNA from 1 species